AAGGCCGCGCAGCCGCGGCACCUCGCCGUGCCCUGCGGCUGUGGCUGGGCACGGAGCCCGGGGGUGGUGCAGGGAUGGGACCCACACCCCCACCACACUGCGCCCCCACUGCCUGCUGGUCCCCCCGGCAGUGCCACGGUGCCGCUGGGGCCUUCCCGCGGAGGCCGGCUGUGCCGGGGCGCGCGGCUCCGGUGCCACCGCGGCGCAAACAGGCCCGGAGCCAACAGAGGCUGCGCCAGGCAGGAGAGGAACUGGGUCAUGUGAAGGCUGAAGCCACCAGCACGGGGAUGGUGGCACCGGUGGCACGGGUGGCAGGGCGCACGGCUCGGCCCCGCCGCGGCGGCUCCUGGAGCUGAGGCCGGCGGGGUGCCGGCAGCC
rnacentral:lncRNA from 1 species